GCCCGCCUAGCUCAAUCGGAUAGAGCGUCAGACUCUUAUGUUAGGCGGUCGAUUCCCCGUCGUCGUGAGGCGGUCGAUUCCUCUCGUCGCCGGCCGGGAAUCUGAAGGCUGCGAGUUCGACCCUCGCGGUGGGCU
rnacentral:tRNA from 1 species